GGGGGGGGGGGGGGGGGGGCGGGGGGGGGGGGGGGCGGGCGGGGGGGGCCGGCGUGGGGGGGGGGCUCGGGGGGCGCACGGGUGCGUGACGCGUGCGUACCCUGCCCUUGACGUUGGGAUAACUUCAGGCAACUGGGGCUAAUACCGGCGAGGAGCUCCCGCCGCACGGUGGGGGUUGGAAAGUUUCGGCGGUUGGGGAUGGACUCGCGGCCUAUCAGCCUGUUGGUGGGGUAGUGGCGUACCAAGGCUGUGACGGGUAGCCGGCCUGAGAGGGGGACCGGCCACAUUGGGACUGAGAGACGGCCCAGACUCCUACGGGAGGCAGCAGUGGGGAAUAUUGCACAAUGGGCGGAAGCCUGAUGCAGCAACGCCGCGUGCGGGAUGACGGCCUUCGGGUUGUAAACCGCUUUCGCCUGUGACGAAGCGUGAGUGACGGUAAUGGGUAAAGAAGCACCGGCUAACUACGUG
rnacentral:rRNA from 1 species